GAUGAACGCUGGCGGCGUGCCUAAUACAUGCAAGUCGAGCGAACAGACGAGGAGCUUGCUCCUCUGACGUUAGCGGCGGACGGGUGAGUAACACGUGGAUAACCUACCUAUAAGACUGGGAUAACUUCGGGAAACCGGAGCUAAUACCGGAUAAUAUAUUGAACCGCAUGGUUCAAUAGUGAAAGACGGUUUUGCUGUCACUUAUAGAUGGAUCCGCGCCGCAUUAGCUAGUUGGUAAGGUAACGGCUUACCAAGGCAACGAUGCGUAGCCGACCUGAGAGGGUGAUCGGCCACACUGGAACUGAGAAACGGUCCAGACUCCUACGGGAGGCAGCAGUAGGGAAUCUUCCGCAAUGGGCGAAAGCCUGACGGAGCAAAGCCGCGUGAGUGAUGAAGGUCUUCGGAUCGUAAAACUCUGUUAUUAGGGAAGAACAAAUGUGUAAGUAACUAUGCACGUCUUGACGGUACCUACUCAGAAAGCCACGGCUAACUACGUG
rnacentral:rRNA from 1 species